rnacentral:pre_miRNA from 1 species
UGCGCAGCAGGGGGGAUCCCUCAGCCCAGGUUGAGGUAGGGCACAGGCCAGGCUGAGGGACCCCACCGGUGCAGA